rnacentral:rRNA from 1 species
CACGAACGCUGGCGGCAGGCUUAACACAUGCAAGUCGAGCGCCCCGCAAGGGGAGCGGCAGACGGGUGAGUAACGCGUGGGAAUCUACCCAUCUCUACGGAAUAACGCAUGGAAACGUGUGCUAAUACCGUAUACGUCCUUCGGGAGAAAGAUUUAUCGGAGAUGGAUGAGCCCGCGUUGGGUUAGCUAGUUGGUGGGGUAAAGGCCUACCAAGGCGACGAUCCAUAGCUGGUCUGAGAGGAUGAUCAGCCACACUGGGACUGAGACACGGCCCAGACUCCUACGGGAGGCAGCAGUGGGGAAUAUUGGACAAUGGGCGCAAGCCUGAUCCAGCCAUGCCGCGUGAGUGAUGAAGGCCCUAGGGUUGUAAAGCUCUUUCACCGGUGAAGAUAAUGACGGUAACCGGAGAAGAAGCCCCGGCUAACUUCGUGCCAGCCGCCCGCAGUAACAC